AAAGGGCGCGUAGCCUGACAGGUCAGUCUGUGGUGCAAUCUUGUGGCUUAACCGUAAGUUUGCCAUGGAAACUACCUGUCUUGAGAUCGGAAGGGGGAACCGGAAUUCCUGGUGUACCGGUGAAAUGCGUAGAUAUCAGGAAGAACACCGGUGGCGAAGGCGGCUUCCUGGUCCGAGACUGACGCUGAUGCGCGAAAGCGUGGGGAGCGAACAGGAUUAGAUACCCUGGUAGUCCACGCUGUAAACGAUGGGCACUAGGUGUUGGGCGUCAAGUUCAGCGCCGGAGCAAACGCAUUAAGUGCCCCGCCUGGGGAAUACGAUCGCAAGAUUGAAACUCAAAGGAAUUGACGGGGGCCCGCACAAGCGGUGGAGCAUGUGGUUUAAUUCGAUGCAACGCGAAGAACCUUACCUGGGCUUGAACUGCAGAGGCACGUACCCUGAAAGGGGUAUUUCCUUCGGGACUUCUGUAGAGGUGCUGCAUGGCUGUCGUCAGCUCGUGCCGUGAGGUGUUGGGUUAAGUCCCGCAACGAGCGCAACCCUUGCUCUUAGUUGCCAUCAGGUAAAGCUGGGCACUCUAAGGGGACUGUCCCGGAUAACGGGGAGGAAGGUGGGGAUGACGUCAAGUCAUCAUGGCCCUUACGUCCAGGGCUACACACGUGCUACAAUGGCCGGUACAACGGGAAGCGAGACCGUGAGGUGGAGCCAAUCCCUUAAAACCGGUUUCAGUUCAGAUUGUAGUCUGCAACUCGACUGCAUGAAGUUGGAAUCGCUAGUAAUCGCGGAUCAGCAUGCCGCGGUGAUACGUUCCCGGGCAUUGUACACACCGCCCGUCACGCCAUGGGAGUCGAUAGCACCCGAAGCCGUGGCCCAAUCUUCGGAGGGGAGCCGUCGAAGGUGA
rnacentral:rRNA from 1 species